CUCUCUCUCUCUGCGUGUGCAUGCUUCAAUGGCAACGAUGGCGUGCAACCACCACUCACUGAUCUUCACGUACGGCACGCUGAAACAGGGCUUCCCGAACCACCCGCUCAUGGAGGACCUCAUCCUCUCCAGCGACGCCGUCUUCCUCGGCCCGCACGUCACCCACCUCCCUCACCCCCUCGUCCUCGGCCCCUUCGGCAUCCCCUUCCUCAUCAACCUCCCCAGCGAAGGCCACCGCGUCAGGGGCGAGCUCUUCUCCGUCUCGCCCCGCGGCCUCGCCCGAGUCGACGAGCUGGAGGGCAUCGGACGCGGCCACUACGAGCGGUUGCCGAUAAAGGUGGAGAUCGACGGCGACUUGGUGGAGGCCGAGGCGUAUUUUGCCCACGCUGGCUUCGGGGAGGGGCUGUGGCGGAGGAGAGGGGAGGUGGGUAUUAGCGAGUACACGCACGACUGCGCCGACGAGUACGUGAAGAGGUCAGAGAGGCCGAAAGGUUGGAGCUUUGUGGAGGGCGUGAGAGAGUUCGUGUCUUCUUCUUCUGAUUGAGGUCCGAUUUCGAUGAUUAUGUUUUGUUUAAUUCUUUCGUCAUCUUAUGUGUCUCUCAUUUCGUGAAGCCUUCAUGCUGUUCUUUUCCUUCUUUGUUCUGUUGGAAAUACGUGCAUAGGAAUGGUUUAUGUUUGUUUGUUUGUUUGCUGCUUAACAAAUUGAGCCCUGCAAGGUCGAACUCUGUAACUUGUGGUACUCUGAUCAUGAGGUCUUAAGGCGGAAAAAUGGCUGAGUAACUGAAAAAUGAAGAAUGGUGUUUAGUGCAGAGCAGCUACUUUCUGUGAGUUCAACAGAGCCUGAAAGUGGUCUGGGACAAGCCCAGGUUCUCUGAGCUCAUGGGCACCGAAAUCAUGGUAUCAGUUUUCCUUUAUAGACAUUCCUGGUACAAUGUGACAGCAGAGAUUCAAGAUUAUUGCCUGACUGAAAACAAAAGUAGAAAAGGAAAACAAAAACAGCAUGUUUGGAUCAAUGGUGACUGGUAUGUCAUUUGAUUGGCAGUAUUUCCGUGGAAUGUAGUUCUAUUCUUAAAAUGUUUCUCGUCUAGAUGAAUUACCAUUGCGUUCAUUUUCUGUUCCCUUCCUAGCAAACCAAGAUGGAGUGAUAGGAGAACGAAUUUGGAAGGGAGACAUGGAUAGUUUGCUUGCCUUGUUACUCUCAUCCAUCACUUCUUUUUUUGGUCUGGCAUCCAUCACUUUAUUUGAGUAAUGUAUGCACACUUAAUCUGGAAAGCCUAUUUUGUGCUGCCUCUUUGUCCGAUAUCACCAAGCACCGGACGUUCAUCUUUGUUGCCAUCGCAUCACUCAGUGCCCAUGCUGAUGACUUCUCAAGAAAAGCCGUAAACCUUCAUCAGAAUCUGUUUGAUACACCCUGUUGCCGUUGGCAUUUGAAUCCAUCUAGACCUCUAGGAUUUUGGCUUCCAUAGCAGGAAUUCAACAUGUUGAUUCCCUCCUCGAUGCAAUUAGAGUUGAAUCAUAUCGAUUCUAAUUGUUUCCCUCUAACUGAUCAACGUACUAACUAUUGGUGUCAUCUAAUUCUCAUGCUGCAGCAGAAAAGAAAGUCGUCAUUUUGCGAUGUUUCUAGUUGCAAGUACUUUUGUGCCUAAAGUCUUGACUAAGUGUCUCCAUUCAAGUACUGCCAUUGCUUGACCAUUGGCAGAUAGCCAAUUUACAGGGGGAGACAUGGGUGUCAAUUGAGCAACUUGGGGCAGCCUACAUGUGAAAGGAACAAGAGCCUUCUAACUUAUUUGUCUUGCCCAAAAGAGAAGAUUGUAGCGAUUUAGCUGUUUCAGACUCUCCCCGGUUACAACUGAAGCUAACAGAACAUAAAGACUUGACAGUCCUGCCAAUUCUUCUUCUUCUUCUCUCUCUCUCUCUCUCUCUCAUAGGGAUUGCAUUCUGUUAGCUAAUUGGAAAAUGAUGAUUCAGUAAAGAUUUUGCUCCAAGUCUCUCAGGUUUGUUUUGAUUCGAAUGCAUCAUGCAUCUCUCGACUGAUUGCCCUGCUUCAUGACAUAAUGUCAUAAUGUAAGUGAAUAGUGACUAUAACAACAAUGUGAAUGUGGAUAGAGGUGGAAGUUUGUGAAACUGAGAAGAUAUUAGCUAAAACUACUGUUAGUUGACCAACAUGUUACUUGUACUUAGAUUGGUUUUGUUGUCAUGGGGAAUUGUAUGGUUCUGUGUGCUUUGGUUGUUCUUCGUAGGAAUAUACUAACACAGUUAUUCUAGCACAUUGAAAAGAUUACUAACACAUUUGAGAUAGUUACUACUACAACCACUGCUAUACCGUCCUUUCUGGCAAGGCCCAUUUAUUGGCCGAUUAGCCAUAUUGCAAACACUAAUUUUUCUGCAAAACUCAACUGGUGAUGCAAUCCAAGGCGUUUGUGCUAUGCAUAAAGGUUGAAACCCGCUGCCAUUUGUGCUGGGGCAUCCAGUAUCCGUAGUUUCAUUCUUCGGGACACACUAAGUUGAAGGACAAGGACGCUUUUGGUGGGGGCAUAGCAUUGACCCUGUCCCGAUGUACUAUUACAUGUUUUUUCCAUCGUGGUAUGAGAAGAAGAAGAAAACUUGAGAAGCUCGAAUCCACAGCGAUUGAAUCACCGUGGACCUUUGUGUUGAUUCUGCGAUCCUAGCCCACACCUGACGCGACACUGCAAAGCACCUUAGAUUGUGCUGGCAAGUUCGCUUUCUUAUAUCUAUUGGACUGUGUGGUACGACGAAAGGAGUGUUGGGGCUGAGCGCAACUUCUCUAACGUCGAUCUAUCUCUGACCAGAACCAUGAACCCUUGCGUGUUCCAGGAAAAAAAUUUAGGCAUGCAUCAUGAGAUUGAUCAAGCCAAUAGCUUCAGUGUACAUGCGACAAUUCGACUCUCAAGGUUCUCAUUCAUGGAACUACGAUGCAACACGAAGGGAAACUAGCACAACCCUCUACCAUGGCCCCCUCACUUAAAUAUGAGUUCCUCGGGGUAGGAAUCAACCUCACAAUCAUCCGUGGCUGACCUGAAAACAUUGAAAAGCCCUUGCCUGUCAAACAAAUGAUGCUUAAUGACUGUGAAUUGCGCAAAACUGGA